CUGGGGGACGCGUGAGCGCGAGC
rnacentral:miRNA from 1 species